rnacentral:lncRNA from 1 species
AAAACUUCAAACAUUCUUUAUUACAUUUUAAGCUUAUGGCAAGUGCGGCGGAGAGUGCAGGCUGCGAGUGCCGGCAGCCUCUGAGACAGAACCGGUGGGAGGGACCCGUCAUUUGGCUCUUCUCAGAGUUUGUGCACGGGUUCUUGCCUGCACUUCCUUUGUGCUCACCUGUUUGCUGCUCCUAAGAGCCUGCAUUACAGGUUCCCUGGCUGCUUUUCAAUCCCCUGCCCCUUGCAUCCUGUCUGUUAUUAACUGCUAUCACUUUAAGAGUUUCCUUUUCUCAGACAGCCCCGCCCUGAGCUGCUAAACAUCUGCCCAUUGAGGGCUUCUGUCCAAAGGAAAGGAGCACCAGGGGAGUUAAAAAGAAAGGCGAGCAGUGCGUGUCCAGCCGUGCUGGAGGCGCGCGCAGUGAAAACUCCUCUAUCCGCACGUCAUUCCCCCCUCCCUCCCGCUAUGGCGCGUGGAAGGGGCGAGCAGGGGGCAGGGUAGUGGAGGCGCUUGGGCGGGGCCGGGGGUGGGGCCGCCAGGCACACUUCCACCACAGCUGCGGAACAGCCCUCCCCACUCCCUCCCCUGCUCUGCCAUGUUACCGCGGCACGUGAGGCCUGACUGCCACAGCCACCAAUGCCACCGCCACCCCCGAGGAGCUCGGGAGAAUUAGAGGCGAGUGGCGGGGACCCGCGGCUGCCCGCUGGGCUUGGGCGGGGAGUGGGCUGGGCUGUCCACAGCUUGGUGGUCCCGCCAGGGGCAGGUGGCGGGGGAGGCGGCGGGGACGCACUGCUCACUGCCAUGGACUACAAGGCAUUCACCAAGAAGCUAGACCAGUGGGUGGAGCAGCUGAAGGAGAGUAAGCAGCCACUGUGCAGCUUAGCUCUGGAUAGGAUUUCUGUGUCCCUUUGAGACACCAAGUUAUAUUCUCUGUCUGUCUAUUGUCUAUUUUUGUUGCACCAAAUUGUCCAUGUGUCUGUCGAUUCAUAUUUGUUUUUGUUUGGAUGGUUGAAUGAUUGUUGUUCUGUGUUUCAUGUUGAAAAAUAAAACUUUAUCUGCUGGCUGUCCAUCCUUUAACUUGUUUAAAACGCAGUCUCAAUUUAUACAGCAGGAAGCGCUGUGGCUACAGCUGAAAAAAGCCCUGCUGAGGGCCAACUGCAAAUGGAGCUCUUAAAGGGGCAGGCAGCCUUUUGCUUGUAACAGAAAGUUAGCUCAAGAUUGGGAACACGGGUUGGAGUCAUUCUAAACAACAAGAAAACAGGUCGUGUGCAUAAGCAGUGUACAAAGGAUGGAAAGAAUAGGUUUAAAAAGAAAUUACCAGGCAUUUGCUCAAAAUGUGGAAAAGGAAGAUAUUGGGUAGAUAUUUACAGAUCAACCAGAGUUGUAACAGAAAGGCCAAUACCUCAGAUUAAAAAGUGCAACAGCCAAAAAACGCAAAUGCAUGGAGCAUUUCAGACUACAGUGUCCAUGAGGCCACCCAAAGACCUAGGAGAGCCACUCCAGGUUCAGCAGGAUUGGACAUCUGUGCCAACUCCAGAGUAAUUCUUACACCACAGUGGGGUGCCAACCUAUUCCCUCAGAUUUUAGAGGUCCCUUACAGUGGGCCUACUAGUAGCUGGGUAGGUCCUCUUCUGCUUUGAGAUACAACCCAGAGUUAUAGACUCAGAUUAUGAGAGACAAGUUAAGAUUAUGUGUUCUGCACCCCGAGAUAUUAUGGCCAUUUCUCCUGAAGAUUGCAUUGCUCAGUUGUUCAUUCCUCCUAGUUUGCAUAACAUGUUCUUUAGUGGCCAGAAUCCCAGAGGGGAUAAGGGAUUUGUUUCUACAGGAACUAAUGUGAUCUACAUAUCUUUAGAUUUGGAUAAUCCUCCCACUUUACAAUUACAAAUAGAAAGAAAAAACCUUUCAAGGUAUAACAGAUACAGAAGCUGAUAAAAGCAUUGUAUCCAGUAACUGGUGGCCUGUUAAUCAAUCAUCACAUAGCUUACAAGGAUUAGAAUAUGAGGCUACCCUAACCAUAAAUACAACAUCCUUACAAUGAAAAGGUAAAGAAGAAAGGACAGGGUCUUUUCAACCUUAUGUGCUACUAGGUCUUGGAAACAACUUACAAGGUAGAGUUUCUCCAGUUAACUGACUAAUGAUUACUCUCAGAAAAGCAAGAAAAUCAUGAGAGAAAUGGAUAUAUACCUGAACUAGGUCUUGGAAACAACUUACAAGGUAGAGUUUCUCCAGUUAAAAAAGCAGCUAAAGAAUUAGUACUAGAACAAUUAGACCUGGGACAUGUGGAACGCACGCAAUCACCCUGGAAUUCCCCUAUUUUCGUUGUAAAGAAGAAGUCAGGUAAAUAGAGAUUGUUAUAUGACCUAAGUAAGAGCCAGUAAUGCACAAAUGCAAGUUAUGGAUCCUGUACAGAGAGGACUCUCCCUACUCUCAGCUUUACCUAAGGAUUGGAGAAUUAUAGUGGUGGAUGUUGAGAAUUGCUUCUUUUCCAUUCCAUUAAGUGGAAAAGAUGAACCUAGAUUUGCAUUUACCUUGCCUUCUUUUAAUUAUGCAGAGCCUGAUGAAGGGUAUCAAUGGUGAGUAUUACCCCAAGGAAUGGUGGGUGGCCCUGCCAUAUGUCAGUUAUAUGUGGGAAAGGCUUUGCAACCAGUUGGAGAUGGUUUCCCCUCUUUAAAGGUAUGUCACUAUAUGAAUGAUAUUGUAAAUUGUGGACCUAAAGAAGAAAAUAUACAGCAAGCUUAUGGUUUGUUUAAUGAAACUUUAAAAAUAAUGGCUUGAUUAUUACACCAGAAAAGUACAACAGUCUAAUGUUAGUCAUUUUUUUAGGAGCCACCAUUACUUUACAGUGUGUCACCCCACAAAAGAUUAGUAUAAGAAAAGAUCAUUUAAAGACAUUAAAUGAUUUUUAAAAAUUAUAAAGGAGAUAUGAAUAGGAUUAGACCUCAUUUAAGGAUCCCUACUUCAGAAUUAAAACCUUUAUUUCAAAUUUUAAAAGGAGAAUCACAUAUUACCUCAUUGAGACAACUAACACCUGAGGCUUCUAAAACUCUUAGGAAGGUGGAAACAGCUAUCCAAAGGCACAGUUGAGUCAUAUAAAUGAGCAAGAACCUUCGUGCCUAUGCAUAUUACAAACCAUAAAUUUGCCAACUGCUAUGUUAUGGCAAGAUGGUCCUUUAGUAUGGAUACAUCCACAUUUAUCCCCUAAUAAGACUAUAGAGCAUUAUCCCUCCAUGGUGGCAAAUAUGGCCCAUAAAGGUAUUAAAAGUUCUAUUACUCACUUUGGAAAAAUGCCUGGUAGCAUAAUUAUUCCAUAUGCUGCUGCACAAAUGCAAAUAUUGUGUGGUACUAUAGAUGAAUGGACCAUUCUUAGAUACAGUUAUUCUGGUUUAAUAAAUAAUCAUUAUCCUAAACAUACUUUAUUAUCUUUCCAAAGGUGAUGGCUAAUACCCCUAUAAAGGGAGCUAUUGAUAUUUAUUCAGAUGGAUCCAAAACAGGAAUUGGAAGUUAUGUAAUCAAUGAAAAAGCUGUGAGGUUGCAAUUUACACCAGGAGUCCCUCAACUGGUAGAAUGUUUGGUCGUUUUAAAAGUUUUUAAAAGGUUCCUUAUGCCCAUAAAUAUUAUCUCCAAUUCUGUUUAUGUAGUUAAUGCUGUAUUAGCAUUAGAGACUGCCAAAAAUUUUAAGCAGUCUAGUUCAGUAUCUAAAAUUUUGAUGAAAAUACAAGAUUAUAUUUUAAUGCAUGAGCAUCCCGUUUAUAUUCAACAUAUUACAGCACAUACAUCUUUUCCUAAAUGUAUAGUUAAGAGAAAUGCAAUUGCUGAUUCAGCCACCAGAGAUAUGGUUUUCCUAUUAUAAAGUUCUAUAGAGGUGCUAAGAAUUUUCAUCAACUUUAUCAUGUCCAUGCUUCUACAUUACGACAGAAGUUUAAGCUCACACGAACAGAAGCUCGAGAUAUUGUCCUACAGUGUGGUAAAUGUGUAGAAUUUAUUAAUGCACCUUCCGUGGGCGUUAAUCCUCGUGGAUUGCGACCCUUAGAUGUUUGGCAGAUGGAUGUGACUUACAAUAUGUACAUGUGUCCAUCGAUACCAGCUCUGGUGUCCUAUAUGCCUAUCCCUUGACAGCAUAAAAAGCAGUUCAUGUCAUAUCCCACUGCUUAGAGGCUUGGGCUACAUGGGGCAAGCCCCUAGUGCUAAAGACAGACAAUGGUCCUACAUAUACUUCUUUUAAAUUCAGUCAAUUUUGCAAACAAAUGCAAGUGAAACAUAUUACUAGAUUGCCCUAUAAUCCACAGGGUCAAGACAUGACUAAAAGAGCUCAUCAUACUUUAAAACAAUAUUUACAAAAACAAAUAGGAGGAAUAGAGGCUAUGACACCAAAGGUGGCGCUAUCCCUUGCAAUAUUUCCUUUAUUUCUUAAAAUUGAUUGAUGCUGGGAGAUCACCCGCUGAAAGGCACGGACCAUGGCCUCAAUCGCCCAAUGAAAUGGUCAAAUGGAAAAAUUUCCUUGAUAAUAAAUGGUAUGGCCCAGAUCCUAUCUUAAUCAGAUCCCGGGGAGCUAUUUGUGUUUUUCCACAGGGUGAAGAAAAUUCACUUUGGGUCCCGACGAGACUGACAAGGACCGUGAAAGAGCAAUAUGAAUCCCAAGAUGAUCCUGUUACUCUUACUCCUGAUGAUUGAGACCGGGAUAAGUAUACCCCUGUGGGCCAUAGUAAGAUCAUGGCUAGUACCUUUACUGGUACAUUCCAAUUCUUCUACCUAGCCUUUAUUUUUUGCAAAGGAAUGUUUUUUAGAUGUGCCUUAUGCACGACAAACUCCUCAAGAGCCAUGGGUGUAUAAGAGUACUAGUUUUCAUUUAAAUUAUACACUAUGCUUUGUGCAUAAUGUGGAUAAACCUUUUAUACCCUGUAUAUUUUUAAAGAAAAAGAUUAUCGCUAGCUGGGAAGAUCCCAUUAGCCAAAAUAAAGUGAGCUCUGGAGUGUUAUUUAAUGCUUUAACACAAAUUGCUCAAGGAGCAAAACCAAGAUCAGGUGAUGCUGAAAAUAAUGUAACUUCAUCUAUAAACAUCACCACUAUCAUGAUAAAGGGAAAUGUGACUAUUCCCAAAAGAUCACGAUAGCCUGUUGGCAAUGCUACUGCUAUAUGCAGCAUGCCUUGGUGUCAUCCAGACCUCGCAUUUCCUAUAGUUUUUUCACCUUGUCAAUCAAAUGUUUUUCCUCAAAAAGAAUUAGCAAAGGGUUUCGUUUUGUCAUCACCAUUAGAUUAUGCUGUGAUGUAUGGUAAAGGAGAUGCUACAGGGAAAGAAAAUAUUUGACUAUAUUACCAAUGGAUUUUAAGUAAUGAGGCAGAUGCUAGUACCAGUUUGUCAACCUUUGCACUGUUGACUGGAAACUUUGAUGAGAUAUUGAAUGUUUCUGCCACACUUUCCAAUAUCUCUACUCAUUUGGAUAAUGUGACAUCUAAUAGAGUUAUCAGAAAUAUGACUACUCCUCCAAUAGAAGUCUGUUUCAAUUUUCCAUUUUUCUUUAUAUUGGCUGAAUUUCAAUAUAGUACAGAAUGGUUAGAUUGUACAAAUGUCACUUGUUUUUUUGACACAAUGCUGGAAUGAAACUAAUUUCUUAGCCUUAGUGGUACAUUUACCAACCUUUGUCUCUGUGCCUGUUGAGGUAGAUCCAAAGAAGUUCCCAAUCAUGAGUCUUGUCCGGCGGAGGAGAGAUUUUGGAAUCACUGCCAUUGCAGUGUCCGCAGCAUCCGCGGCUACUGCAGGAAUUACUAUGGCCUGUCAAGUCAAUACUGCUGAUACCAUAAGUCAGAUAACAGAAAAAAACGUCUGAGGCAUUGCUUACCCUUCAAAGGGUGGAUUCUCAUAUUGCAUCAGGAUUAAUAUUAGUGAAUCAAAGAGUAGAUAUUUUACAACAUAACGUGGAACAGAUGAUAGAUAUCAUACAAAUGAGUUGCGUGGCAUCAACUUUACAUAUGUGCAUUAUUCCUGUUAGGUAUACUAAUAAUUCUUUUAUUAAAAGUACAGAUUUAUUGAAUUAUCUGAAGAGGAACUGGUCUCAGGAGCUGGAAAGGUUGCAGACAAAGCUGCAGAUACAGAUCCUGAACCUUAAUGGAACCAGAGUGGAACCAGUGACCCUUGGAGACUUCACCUCUUGGCUUACCUCUGCAUUUUUCUUACUUCAAAGAAUGGGUGGGGGUGGCUCUGUUUGGCACAGCCCUAUGUUGUGGAUUAGUGCUUAUACUAUGGCUGGUUUGCAAACUCAAAUCUCAACAGAGAUGUGACAAGGUGAUGAUUGCUCAAGCACUUGCUGCCAUAGAGCAAGGCACCUCCCCUAAAAUCUGGUUAUUUAUGCUAAGAUGACCUUGCAAGCACUAGACUGCUCAGCUCUUGUACUCCUAGAGGCUAGACUCAUUGCACAGGAAAGAGUGAGUAGGUUUCUGACUCUUAUGGAUUGCUGGGCUAAGCACUGCAUAGGAGUUGCUCAGAGAUUAGAGUGCUCCUAGAAGACACGUUGAUUUGCAUGAGGGUUGAGUGGCCAAGUGUCCCUCCCCUACGAAAAACGGCAUGGGAGCAGGUCAGGGUUGCUCUGGGAAAAGACCUGUGAGCCUAAGAGUUAAUCCUGUACAUAGCCCCUAUUUCUGCACACUAGGGAUUCUACCUCUAUCUUCAUCCAUUAAAGAGUGGCUUGCAUUUUAUAAAACUUAAAAGGGGGAAUUGUAGAAAGCCACAAUGAUACUUGACGUCACUAGAUGGCGCUAAACCUCCAUUGUGCCAAACCGAUCUCUUUGUUUAGAUCAAGCUGUGUUGUGCGAAUGUGUAGGGAGCAAAAGCCCGCCAAGUCACUAGCCCAUCCCCGGGGUGUAUGAGAUCUUGGGUGAAGCUGCCAGUUGGGUAUAGACCCUUCACACCAGGGGGUAUUUAAGCAACACGUUUCUGAGCCUUCUUUGUCUUCCUCAUCAACAUAUAAUAAAGAUUAGCUACGAAAGGAUCUUGUGUCCCAUGUGCAUUCCUGCGGGCUGGAACAAUAGCUCAGGACAGGGGUGGAAUCACCAUGCCUGACCUAAACCUGUACUAUAGAGCAAUUGUGAUAAAAAGUGCAUGGUACUGGUAUAACGACAGAGAAGUAGACCAAUGGAACAGAAUUGAUGAGCCUGAGAUGAACCCACACACCUAUGGUCACUUGAUCUUUGACAAGGGAGCAAAAAUCAUCCAGUGGAAAAAAGACAGCAUUUUCAACAAAUGGUGCUGGCACAACUGGCGGUUAUCAUGUAGAAGAAUGCGAAUCAAUCCAUUCCUAUCUCCUUGUACUAAGGUCAAAUCUAAGUGGAUUAAGGAACUCCACAUAAAAACAGAGACACUGAAACUUAUAGAGGAGAAAGUAGGGAAAAGCCUUGAUAUAUGGGUAGAGGGGAAAAAUUCCUGAA